AAAGGCUGCAUGGGAGAGAUCGGCCGUCAUCGAAAAGAUGAUGGAGUCGACGCCGACGGAGCAACUCCCCAGGAAACUCUCAGGCAAAGUGACCAUGCAGUUGAA
rnacentral:ncRNA from 2 species